rnacentral:rRNA from 1 species
UGCGUAACACGUAUGCAACCUACCUUUAACUGGGAGAUAGCCCGGGGAAACUCGGAUUAAUAUCCCAUAACACAGUGUUUUCUCAUGAAGAUAUUGUUAAAGCUCCGGCGGUUGAAGAUGGGCAUGCGUCCGAUUAGCUAGUUGGUGGGGUAAUGGCCCACCAAGGCUACGAUCGGUAGGGGGUCUGAGAGGAUGAUCCCCCACACUGGUACUGAGAUACGGACCAG